GAAGGCUGAGCCAGCCUCUGGUGCUCACACCUGAGCAUCAGGGCACCAAUUAUUACCUGCCUGAGCCAGGCAACCAGGCAAAGAGACAACCCGUGACAUUUUGCGAGCUGAAAAUGGAAGUGGGACGAAAGAGCGAGGCAGGCAGUCCUGACUCUGCCAUCAGGCCAAGAAGAAAGGAUGGCAGAAGGCACGUCGCCAACAAGCAACCCCAGGCCAGUCCUCAGCCUCUCUCUCUCCGCCUAGCAGAGGGCUGGCAUAAUUCCAUUUGCUGCCUUUGAAAAUAUAUUGAGAGACUUCAGGCUUCAUCUCCAACACAAAAAGAGCUUGGAGGUUAUCACUCCUGAGCUCACAAGGAAAACAAAAAUGGAGAAAACUGAAAAUCAACAACUUUACUUAGCCGGAUGUGGUGGCUCAUGCCUGUAAUCCCAGAAUUUUGUGAGGCAGAGAUGGGCAGAUUGCUUGAGCCCAGGAAUUUAAGACCAGCCUUGACAAUAUUGUGAGAUCCCAUCUUUACAAAAAAAAAUAAUAAUAAAUAUAGCCCAGGUGUGGUGGUACAUGCCUGCAGUCCCAGCUACGUGGGAGGCUGAAGUGGGAGAACAGCUUGAGCCUGAGAAAUCGAGGCUGUGGUGAACCGCACUCCAGCCCAGGUGACAGAGGGAGGGCCUGUCUGAAAAAAAGAAAAGAAAGAGAGGAAAGAAAGAGAG
rnacentral:lncRNA from 1 species